rnacentral:rRNA from 1 species
UACGUAGGCAGCAAGCGUUGUUCGGAAUUACUGGGCGUAAAGCGCACGUAGGCGGAUUUGUAAGUCAGGGGUGAAAUCCCGGGGCUCAACCCCGGAACUGCCUUUGAUACUGCAAAUCUCGAGUCCGGAAGAGGUGAGUGGAAUUCCUAGUGUAGAGGUGAAAUUCGUAGAUAUUAGGAAGAACACCAGUGGCGAAGGCGGCUCACUGGUCCGGUACUGACGCUGAGGUGCGAAAGCGUGGGGAGCAAACAGG